rnacentral:rRNA from 1 species
AAACUGAAGAGUUUGAUCCUGGCUCAGAUUGAACGCUGGCGGAAUGCUUUACACAUGCAAGUCGAACGAUGAUUUCUAGCUUGCUAGAAUGAUUAGUGGCGAACGGGUGAGUAAUGUAUCGGAACGUAUCCAAUAAUGGGGGAUAACUAAUCGAAAGGUUGGCUAAUACCGCAUACGCCCUACGGGGGAAAGCAGGGGAUCUUCGGACCUUGCGUUAAUGGAGCGGCCGAUAUCUGAUUAGCUAGUUGGUGAGGUAAAAGCUCACCAAGGCGACGAUCAGUAGCUGGUCUGAGAGGACGACCAGCCACACUGGAACUGAGACACGGUCCAGACUCCUACGGGAGGCAGCAGUGGGGAAUUUUGGACAAUGGGCGAAAGCCUGAUCCAGCCAUUCCGCGUGAGUGAAGAAGGCCUUCGGGUUGUAAAGCUCUUUCGCAAGGGAAGAAACGAUGCAGUCGAAUAAACUGUGUUAAUGACGGUACCUUGAUAAGAAGCACCGGCUAACUACGUGCCAGCAGCCGCGGUAAUACGUAGGGUGCAAGCGUUAAUCGGAAUUACUGGGCGUAAAGCGUGCGCAGGCGGUUUUGUAAGUCAGAUGUGAAAUCCCCGAGCUCAACUUGGGAACUGCGUUUGAAACUACAAGACUAGAAUAUGUCAGAGGGGGGUAGAAUUCCACGUGUAGCAGUGAAAUGCGUAGAGAUGUGGAGGAAUACCAAUGGCGAAGGCAGCCCCCUGGGAUAAUAUUGACGCUCAUGCACGAAAGCGUGGGGAGCAAACAGGAUUAGAUACCCUGGUAGUCCACGCCCUAA